rnacentral:rRNA from 1 species
UACGUAGGGAGCAAGCGUUAUCCGGAUUUAUUGGGUGUAAAGGGUGCGUAGACGGGUAGGCAAGUUGGUUGUGAAAUCCCUCGGCUUAACUGAGGAACUGCAACCAAAACUAUCUUUCUUGAGUGCUGGAGAGGAAAGUGGAAUUCCUAGUGUAGCGGUGAAAUGCGUAGAUAUUAGGAGGAACACCAGUGGCGAAGGCGACUUUCUGGACAGUAACUGACGUUGAGGCACGAAAGUGUGGGGAGCAAACAGG